AUUGAACGCUGGCGGCAGGCCUAACACAUGCAAGUCGAGCGAGAGUCGGACGGGUGAGUGAUGUCUGGGAGACUGCCUGAGGGGGGGGGGGAACUACUGGAAACGGUAGCUAAUACCGCAUACCCUCACGUAUGCCCCGAUGGGGUUAGCUAGUAGGUGGGGUAACGGCUCACCUAGGCGACGAUCCCUAGCUGGUCUGAGAGGAUGACCAGCCACACUGGAACUGAGACACGGUCCAGACUCCUACGGGAGGCAGCAGUGGGGAAUAUUGCACAAGGGGCGCAAGCCUGAUGCAGCCAUGCCGCGUGUGUGAAGAAGGCCUUCGGGUUGUAAAGUACUUUCAGCGGGGAGGCGUUACCCGCAGAAGAAGCACCGGCUAACUCCGUGCCAGCAGCCGCGGUAAUUC
rnacentral:rRNA from 1 species